rnacentral:rRNA from 1 species
AGCAGCCGCGGUAAUUCCAGCUCCAAUAGCGUAUAUUAAAGUUGUUGCAGUUAAAAAGCUCGUAGUUGAAUUUCGGGAUUUGUCGGUUGGUCGGGCUUCACUGUCCGCACUGGCCUGAUGGAUUCCUACCUUCUGAAUAACCAGCAUGCUAUUAAGUUAGUGCGUUGGGGAAGCAGAGCUAUUACCUUGAAAAAAUUAGAGUGCUUAAAGCAGGCUUGUGCUUGAAUAGAUUAGCAUGGAAUAAUAAAAUAGGACGGCAUGGUUCUAUUUUGUUGGUUUCUAGGAUCACCGUAAUGAUUAAUAGGGAUAGUUGGGGGCAUUAGUAUUCAAUUGUCAGAGGUGAAAUUCUUGGAUUUAUUGAAGACUAACUUCUGCGAAAGCAUUUGCCAAGGAUGUUUUCAUUAAUCAAGAACGAAAGUUAGGGGAUCGAAGACGAUCAGAUACCGUCGUAGUCUUAACCAUAAACUAUGCCGACUAGGGAUCGGACGAUGUUAAUUUUUUAAUGACUCG